rnacentral:lncRNA from 1 species
AAUUCAUGCGAAGGAUAUAACGAGCAAUUUUAUAAAAUAAAUUUGUCGUAAUCUCUUACGGUUGCGAAGGAGUCGUGAUCACAAGGAAAACAGUGUUUGGGGAGAUAACUCCUACAAAGAAAAGUAUUCGGUUACGCAGGGUAAAUUUCAAAAGCGCAUAAACUGUUCAAUAUCAUAUACCAAAUAUCUAAGCGACAUAUUGCGAAACAAAUAUUUAUCGCAAGAACAAAAUUAGGCGGAAGAAAAAAAAAAUAAUCAGAAGAAAAACAAUAGGUCUUUCCACAGAAAAGUGGAAAGACCUAACAAUCAGAAGAAAAACAAUAGGUCUUUCCACAGAAAAGUGGAAAGACCUAAUAAUCAGAAGAAAAACAAUAG